rnacentral:tRNA from 3 species
CCGGAGAUGGCAGAGUGGCCAAUUGCACCAGACUGUAAAUCUGGCGGGUUUUCCCUUCGGAGGUUCAAAUCCUCCUCUCCGGA